rnacentral:rRNA from 1 species
GCCGAUGAAGGUGUGUUGAGAAGCAUGCUGGAGGUAUCACGAGUGCGAAUGCUGACAUGAGUAACGAUAAAGGGUGUGAAAAACACCCUCGCCGGAAGACCAAGGGUUUCUGUUCGACGCUAAUCGGAGCAGAGUGAGUCGGCCCCUAAGGCGAGGCCGAAAGGCGUAGUCGAUGGGAAACGGGUCAAUAUUCCCGUACCGGACAUGAUUGCGAUGGGGGGACGGAGAAGGCUAGGUGAGCCAGGCGUUGGUAGUCCUGGUGAAAGUGCGUAGGCUGAGGGCUUAGGUAAAUCCGGGCGCUCAAGGCCGAGACACGAGACGAAGACACCACGGUGUCGAAGUCACUGAUGCCACGCUUCCAGGAAAAGCCUCUAAGCGACAGAUCAUGUGCGACCGUACCCCAAACCGACACAGGUGGUCAGGGUGAGAAUCCCCAGGCGCUUGAGAGAACUCGGGUGAAGGAACUAGGCAAAAUGGUGCCGUAACUUCGGGAGAAGGCACGCCGCUGUUACGUGAAGCCCCUCGCGGGUGGAGCGGAGAGCGGUCGAAGAUACCAGGUGGCUGCAACUGUUUAGUAAAAACACAGCACUCUGCUAACGCGCAAGCGGACGUAUAGGGUGUGACGCCUGCCCGGUGCCGGAAGGUUAAGUGAUGGUGUUAGGAUUCGUCCGAAGCUCUUGAUCGAAGCCCCGGUAAACGGCGGCCGUAACUAUAACGGUCCUAAGGUAGCGAAAUUCCUUGUCGGGUAAGUUCCGACCUGCACGAAUGGCGUAAUGAUGGCCACGCUGUCUCCACCCGAGACUCAGUGAAAUUGAAAUCGCCGUGAAGAUGCGGUGUACCCGCGGCUAGACGGAAAGACCCCGUGAACCUUUACUAUAGCUUCACACUGGACGCUGAUGUUGCCUGUGUAGGAUAGCUGGGAGGCUUAGAAACCCGGACGCCAGUUCGGGUGGAGCCAACCUUGAAAUACCAGCCUGGCAUCAUUGGCGUUCUCACUCAGGUCCGUGAUCCGGAUCGAGGACAGUGUGUGGUGGGUAGUUUGACUGGGGCGGUCUCCUCCCAAAGCGUAACGGAGGAGCACGAAGGUACCCUCAGCACGGUCGGACAUCGUGCAAUGAGUGCAAGAGCAUAAGGGUGCUUAACUGCGAGACAGACACGUCGAGCAGGUACGAAAGUAGGUUCUAGUGAUCCGGUGGUUCUGUAUGGAAGGGCCAUCGCUCAACGGAUAAAAGGUACUCCGGGGAUAACAGGCUGAUACCGCCCAAGAGUUCACAUCGACGGCGGUGUUUGGCACCUCGAUGUCGGCUCAUCACAUCCUGGGGCUGAAGUCGGUCCCAAGGGUAUGGCUGUUCGCCAUUUAAAGUGGUACGCGAGCUGGGUUUAGAACGUCGUGAGACAGUUCGGUCCCUAUCUGCCGUGGGCGUAGGAUGUUUGAGAAGGGCUGCUCCUAGUACGAGAGGACCGGAGUGGACGCACCUCUGGUGUUCCGGUUGUCACGCCAGUGGCAUUGCCGGGUAGCUAAGUGCGGACGGGAUAACCGCUGAAAGCAUCUAAGCGGGAAGCCCCCUUCAAGAUGAGACAUCCCUGAGGCCUUGAGCCUCCUAAAGGGCCCAGCAAGACCAGCUGGUUGAUAGGUCGGAUGUGGACGCGCUGCAAGGCGUUGAGCUAACCGAUACUAAUGGCCCGUGAGGCUUGACCCUAUAACACCCAAGGGGUUGGG